rnacentral:misc_RNA from 1 species
AAGUCGUAACAAGGUAACCGUAGGUGAACCUGCGGUUGGAUCAUUAAAAAAUUAAGUCUUUGAGACUUUGACGAGGGCUUCGGCCCAAGUUUUACACCUGUGAAGCAACAUGUCUUUGGCGAGCUUGCGCUCGUCACUUGUAUUUACCCUACUUUAUAAUGACUGAAUCAAGAAUCUAAUUAAAAAACAACUUUUAACAACGGAUCUCUUGGCUCUC